GGAGCAGUUCCUCCCCAUAGUUGCAUCGCAGUUUGGUUUACAGUUCCUCUGGCACUUGGGGAACCUUCAUUGCUCCCCCUCAGAUGCCAGCACCAGGUGUCUCAGGGUCUGGGUCCUGGAGUCAGGGACACCAAUAUCAGGAGUUUGCUCCCAGCUCAGCCGUCACUGCUAUGAGAAUGGCCAGUUGAAUUGCUGUAUGAAGAGCCCAUGCACCAUAAGAAGGGAGAAAGAGAUACUGGAUGCAUUACGAACAAGUGUCCAUUGGCUACCCAGCACCCAUACAUAUUCUUCUUUCCAUUCAUCUUCUUAGAAACAUGUUUCCUCACUAGAGACAACUGAAAGAUUAGUACAUUAGCUCCAAGUUUUGAUUCUCUUGAUGAUGUGGGGUCUUCUCCAUCAUGUCUGAGUAAACUCCCCACAGUCUAGGGACUUUUGGUAAUACUGUGUUUUCCACCUAUAACACAACCCGUAUAAAAUGAUGAAGAAAGCGCAAGAUAAUGGCAAUAAAAAAUUACCUUUUGGAAAAGAGAAGAAUGGAAACAACACACAAUAGUCCUUAGUCCAUGCUAACAUCAUUCCUGCCGGGCAGAAAUGGUUGAUAGAAACAGUUAACAGACAGAAGAAUGUUCAUGACAACACGUCAAUCACCGACAAAAUGGACACCUGUUCUACUUAUAACAUCAUAUCAGACACCGUCCCCUUGUACUGCUGUAACUCCAACACUAGCUGAAGUUCAAGCUGCUCUAUAAGGCUUUUCUUUUAUAAAGAUCUAUGGGGAGAAAAUAGGAAGACAGACCCAAAAAUUUAUAGAAAAGCUUUAUUUUGUACCCAUUUUCACACAUCACUCAGACAAACCAUGAAUUCUACUUUCCCCCAGUUUCAUAUAAAACUACAUACACCGCACUGUACAUGUAAAACAAAUUUGGAAAGGAGCCUCAAGCUGGCCUCUGAAAUUGUGUAAGCAAUUAUCACAUUUUUGUGCGCAAAUGCAGUAAUUAUAUGUGUAAUUUGGCAGCUGGGUUUGAAAAUUUGGCCUUAAAUGGAACAUAGACAGGAAAAAUAAAUGUUGGAAAAUGCCAAUAUUUUAUAAAGAUUUUGAAUCAAAUAAUGGUGGAAUUAUUGCAAGCCAUCUUAAUUUUUAAUUAUAAUGAUCAUUACACAAUAUACAAUCAUUUUUUUGAGGAAGGAAAGAACUAUAGAUCAAUUGCUCAUCGUUUUUGUCAAAAAAAAUGCCUCAUUCUUGAGGAGGAUAAUUGUAUUUUUUAGAGGUUAUGGUACAUAUUUCAAAGGCUUUUUUUCCUUAUGAAGAAAAGAUAGUGAUUGCCUACUAGUUCAAGUUCUAUGACAUAUUUUACUAUGGGAAGAAUAGAACUUUUUGUACCGAUUAUUUUAGAGAAAAAGUAGUAUCAACUCUGUGCUUAUAUUUGAGCUAGUAAUCUUAAAUUAGAUAAAGCUUUCUUAUAGGCAUUUAAGCUUUGGAAUAUGAGAUUAUAACCCAAAUGACAAGUAAUUUAGAUUUCUUUGAUCUAGAUUUAAAUUGAAUUCACAUGGUAAAAUCAUAGUUUUUGUAUUGUCAUCAAGAUUGAUUCUAAUGCAUGUGGCUUUUUCAUGUGGUUAUAAGGGCUAGUGACUUGGAUAUAAUGUUAAGGAUGACCCUGGAGCAAUGUUAUAUUCUGUUGUUAGCAUGGUAAUGUAGAGGUUAAUUGUGCAGACUAUGGAGCCAGACAGCCUGGAUUCCAGUUCUGGCUCUACCAUUCUAUUAGCCCUAUGACCUUAAGCCAGUCGCUCUAUGUUUCAAAUGCUUAUUUUUAAAAUGUCUUGUUAAUUGUGAUUGGUUCAUAUUAUCAUCAGCUAUUACAAUUCUAUAUAUGCAUA